rnacentral:rRNA from 1 species
CUUUAUUGGAGAGUUUGAUCCUGGCUCAGGACGAACGCUGGCGGCAUGCCUAAUACAUGCAAGUCGAGCGGAGUUGAUAGGAAGCUUGCUUCCUUGAUACUUAGCGGCGGACGGGUGAGUAACACGUAGGCAACCUGCCCUCAAGUUUGGGACAACUACCGGAAACGGUAGCUAAUACCGAAUAGUUGUUUUCUUCGCCUGAAGGAAACUGGAAAGACGGAGCAAUCUGUCACUUGGGGAUGGGCCUGCGGCGCAUUAGCUAGUUGGUGGGGUAACGGCUCACCAAGGCGAC